UAUGUUCCAUAAAGCUCAUAUCUAGGGUUUAAGACCUAAAGGAAAAAUCAAUCAAGAAUUGAUUCACAUUGGUUCUAGACAUCAUAUAUGGAUCCCUAUGGUCUUCACAUAUCAUUUUGAUCAAGAAAUCAUCAAGAGUUUAAUGUUUCUUUGCCUUGGAAACUCUAAUUCAUCUAGGUAUCUUGUGUAACUCCCUCAACAAGUUUCUUCAUCAAUUGAUCAAAUAUUUCAAGGGAUACUUCAUAUUACAUCAUCUUUAACAUAUAUGAUCC
rnacentral:lncRNA from 1 species